UACGUAGGGGGCAAGCGUUGUCCGGAUUUAUUGGGCGUAAAGAGCGUGUAGGCGGUUAGGUAGGUCCGUUGUGAAAACUCGAGGCUCAACCUCGAGACGCCGAUGGAAACCAUCUGACUAGAGUCCGGAAGAGGAGAGUGGAAUUCCUGGUGUAGCGGUGAAAUGCGUAGAUAUCUGGAGGAAUACCGGUGGCGAAGGCGGCAUCCUGGACCGACAUUGACGCUGAACGGCGAAAGCUAGGGGAGCAAACGGG
rnacentral:rRNA from 1 species